AUUGAACGCUGGCGGCAGGCUUAACACAUGCAAGUCGAGCGGGGUGAUGGUGCUUGCACUAUCACUUAGCGGCGGACGGGUGAGUAAUGCUUAGGAAUCUGCCUAUUAGUGGGGGACAACAUCUCGAAAGGGAUGCUAAUACCGCAUACGUCCUACGGGAGAAAGCAGGGGAUCACUUGUGACCUUGCGCUAAUAGAUGAGCCUAAGUCGGAUUAGCUAGUUGGUGGGGUAAAGGCCUACCAAGGCGACGAUCUGUAGCGGGGCUGAGAGGAUGAUCCGCCACACUGGGACUGAGACACGGCCCAGACUCCUAGUGGAGGCAGCAGUGGGGAAUAUUGGACAAUGGGGGGAACCCUGAUCCAGCCAUGCCGCGUGUGUGAAGAAGGCCUUAUGGUUGUAAAGCACUUUAAGCGAGGAGGAGGCUCUUUUGGUUAAUACCCAAGAUGAGUGGACGUUACUCGCAGAAUAAGCACCGGCUAACUCUGUGCCAGCCGCCGCGGUAA
rnacentral:rRNA from 1 species